CCCGACGUCACUGGCAGAGAGACGGAGAGGACAGAACCGCAAUGGAGGACCAAAACCUCAUCGUCGCUGUGUGCAGCCGUCCUGUCCUUUACAACACCAGGAUGGUGUCGUACCGGGACAGGAACAAGAAAGAGAGGGCGUGGGUCGACGUGGCCGAGGAUACUGGCUGUCCUGCAACUUACCUCGGGGGGCAGAGGAGGUAGAGGAGGACGGGGCUCCAGAUACACUGUCAGGGGCAGGAGAAGAGAGGAGCUUGAGGAGGCAGCAGCAGGGCCAUCGCACAUAGCAGACCAGCCCAGCAGUGAGUCAGAGACAGAGGACACUGCUCCUGCUCCUGCUCCUGCUCCUGCCCCUGUCCCUGCCGCUGGCCCUUCCCGUGUACCUGUCCCUGAGGCUGGCCCUGCCCCAAGACCACAGAGCGGGACGAAGAGGAAGAGAGCCAGGGUACCGGAGGGGAACACAAAUAUCCAGACAGCCAUCCUCCAGGCCCUGCAGAGGCAAAACGCUGUGCCUACCCCUACCCCGCUCUCUGGGAUUGAGCACUUUUUAAUGGGCCUAGUUCCUUCCCUGGAGAGAAUGCCACCUGAAGUACUGGAGUACGUUCAAUUCCAAAUUCGAAAGGUCAUAUUUGACAAUACUAAUUUCACACUUAAUUUGGAACCUGUUUAAGCUUAUUAGCUAGUGGUGGUGACAAUCUCUCCAGGGAAAGAACUAGGCUGAUGUCACUGUUCAUUUGUUAUUGUUCCGUUAUGUUUAUAUUAUAUUGUUUGUAUGUUAUUUUUGUUAUUUAUAUAAUUAUUUUUUAAAUAAAAUAUUUCUCACAACU
rnacentral:lncRNA from 1 species